GAUGAAGAACGUAGCGAAAUGCGAUAAGUAAUGUGAAUUGCAGAAUUCAGUGAAUCAUCGAAUCUUUGAACGCACAUUGCGCCCGCCAGUAUUCUGGCGGGCAUGCCUAUUCGAGCGUCAUUUCAACCAUCAAGCCCCAGGCUUGUGUUGGGGACCUGCGGCUGCCGCAGGCCCUGAAAACCAGUGGCGGGCUCGCUGUCACACCGGGCGUAGUAGAUUUUAUCUCGCUCUGGGCGUGCUGCGGGUUCCGGCCGUUAAAAAACCCUUUUAACCCAAGGUUGACCUCGGAUCAGGUAGGAAUACCCGCUGAACUUAAGCAUAUCAAUAAGCGGAGGA
rnacentral:misc_RNA from 1 species